rnacentral:rRNA from 1 species
GGGUCAGUAGGUUGGUCGUGCCACCGGUACGUACUGGUCUCACUGAUUCCUCCUUCCUGAAGAACCGUAACGCCAUUAAUUUGGUGUUGCGGGGAAACAAGGCUGUCACUUUGAAAAAAUUAGAGUGUUUAAAGCAAGCUAACGCUUGAAUACAUUAGCAUGGAAUAAUGAAAUAGGACGAUCGAUCCUAUUUUGUUGGUUUCUAGGAUUGACGUA